UAAUAUGUGUGGUAGUUUUAGUACAUUUGUGUUGAUGCUCAUUAAGUUCGGUUAAGUGUACAUUCAAAUGUGGGGGGACCUUUUAUUUUGUUCCGCGGACCAUGUGUUGCCCGGGGAAACAUUAGCUGGCGCACUUAGAGCCACAUGGGGCAUUCAAGCUCAAGAAGCUAAUCGCUAGAAAUUAAACUUUAUUCCUCUGGAGUCAAUGCGGCUAAUGAGUUCUGACGGCAUUUUUGGGGACUUUGUAAGAUGUGUCCACAAUAAAUGGCUGUUGAAACCAAGAACUGCGUUAAGCCUUGAUUAAACUCGAGAGGAGUAACACUGGGUGAGUUUUUUUUUUUCUGUGUUCCAAUAACCACAGUGCAUUUAUUUGAAAACAAUACAACAGGUUUUAGCAUAGCUACACAACAUAAGAAAUAUUUUUAAAGCUUAAUUAGUCACAGCAUGACAGUU